UACAGAGGAGUCAAGCGUUGUUCGGAUUCAUUGGGCGUAAAGGGUGCGCAGGCGGCGCGGUAAGUCGGGUGUGAAAUCUCGGAGCUUAACCCCGAAACUGCAUUCGAUACUGCCGUGCUUGAGGACUGGAGAGGAUACUGGAAUUUACGGUGUAGCGGUGAAAUGCGUAGAUAUCGUCAGGAAGACCAGUGGCGAAGCCGGGUCUCUGGACAGUUCCUGACGCUCAGGCACGAACGUCUGGGGAGCAAACGGG
rnacentral:rRNA from 1 species